CUGUUUGAAUUUCAACAGAACAUAGAGCAGAUCCUCUUCUCUUGGUGUCCUGCCUGGGUGUAGUAUUGGGUGUCACGUUCACCUUGAUCAUUGUCCUGCUUUGCAUCAUGUACAAGAUGAACAACACAACAUGUGUGCAGUGCAGAGGACUCGUCUCACAGACCAGAGGUCCUUCAGUUACCAGGUCAGAUGCAGGGGACCAAGAUGAAGACAGUCUCCAUUACGUAGCUCUGAAUCUGAGCAACAAGAAGAACAGGUCGAGAAAACAGAGAGGUCACAUGGAGACAGGGGUGUAUGCUGGGAUCAGACAGUAGAACUGGAUGAAUGAAACAAUGAUCCUUUUAUACUAGAUAACUCUUUAUUAACUAGUUCUAGCUUCAUGAACUAUCUAUGAACGCAUAAGCAGUCAAAUGUGAUGA